rnacentral:lncRNA from 1 species
UUUGUUUUUUUUAGUAAACAAAAGUAAGAGAAACAAUGAUGUAUAAUUCAAGCAUGCUUGGUGAUCUCAAACCAAUCACAAGGAGUCCCACCCAAAGGCAAAGGGAACCAAGAUGCUCAUGAUCCUUGAGGCUAUGCAAAUGCAAUGUUAUGAUUCCAUGAGGGAUCUUAGGGUCAAAAUUGGGGUCUUACAGAUCCGUAAACGGAGAAAUCAUCCAUGAACACCUCAAUG